AGGGUUCGAUUCUGGCUCAGGAUGAACGCUGGCGGCGUGCUUAACACAUGCAAGUCGAACGGAGUUUUUAAACGGAAGUUUUCGGAUGGAAGUUUAGAAACUUAGUGGCGGACGGGUGAGUAACGCGUGGGUAACCUGCCUCAUACAGGGGGAUAACAGUUAGAAAUGACUGCUAACACCGCAUAAUAUAGCGAAACCGCAUGAUUUUGCUAUCAAAUAUUUAUAGGUAUGAGAUGGGCCCGCGUCUGAUUAGCUAGUUGGUGGGGUAAAGGCCUACCAAGGCGACGAUCAGUAGCCGGCUUGAGAGAGUGACCGGCCACAUUGGGACUGAGACACGGCCCAAACUCCUACGGGAGGCAGCAGUGGGGAAUAUUGGACAAUGGGGGAAACCCUGAUCCAGCCGACGCCGCGUGAGUGAAGAAGUAUUUCGGUAUGUAAAGCUCUAUCAGCAGGGAAGAUAAUGACAGUACCUGACUAAGAAGCCCCGGCUAACUACGUGCCAGCCGCCGC
rnacentral:rRNA from 1 species